UAUCUACCCUUUGGCCUGGAAUAACACGAGGAAACUUGUGCUAAUACCGGAUAAGUCUUUACGGAGAAAGCUUUAUGCACCAUUGGAUGAGCCUGCACUUGAUUAGUUUGUCGGUGGGGUAAUGGCCUACCAAGACUGUGAUCAAUAGCUGAUUUGAGAGGAUGAUCAGCCACAUUGGGACUGAGACACGGCCCAAACUCCUACGGGAGGCAGCAGUGGGGAAUCUUGCACAAUGGAGGAAACUCUGAUGCAGCGAUGCCGCGUGAGUGAAGAAGGCCCUUGGGUUGUAAAGCUCUUUCGUCGGGGAAGAAAAUGACUGUACCCGAAUAAGAAGGUCCGGCUAACUUCGUGCCAGCAGCCGCGGUAAUACGAAGGGACCUAGCGU
rnacentral:rRNA from 1 species